rnacentral:rRNA from 1 species
CCGGUGAACGGCGGCCGUAACUAUAACGGUCCUAAGGUAGCGAAAUUCCUUGUCGGGUAAGUUCCGACCCGCACGAAAGGUGUAACGAUUUGGGCACUGUCUCAACGAGGGACCCGGUGAAAUUGAAAUACCUGUGAAGAUGCAGGUUACCCGCGACUGGACAGAAAGACCCCAUGGAGCUUUACUGUAACCUGACAUUGGGUUUUGAUACAUUACGUACAGGAUAGGUGGGAGGCUUGGAAAGCUGGACGCUAGUCUGGCUGGAGCCGACGUUGGGAUACCACCCUUGAUGUAUUGAAAUUCUAACCGCGAGAGUAACGAAAUCCGGGACAGUGUCAGGCGGGCAGUUUGACUGGGGCGGUCGCCUCCGAAAGAGUAACGGAGGCGCCCAAAGGUUCCCUCAGCGCGGCCGGAAAUCGCGCGAAGAGUGUAAAGGCAGAAGGGAGCUUGACUGCGAGUCAAACACGACGAGCAGGUACGAAAGUAGGGCUUAGUGAUCCGGUGGUACCGAGUGGAAGGGCCAUCGCUCAACGGAUAAAAGCUACCCUGGGGAUAACAGGCUAAUCUCUCCCAAGAGUCCAUAUCGACGGGGAGGUUUGGCACCUCGAUGUCGGCUCAUCACAUCCUGGGGCUGAAGUCGGUCCCAAGGGUUGGGCUGUUCGCCCAUUAAAGUGGUACGUGAGCUGGGUUCAGAACGUCGUGAGACAGUUCGGUCCCUAUCCAUCGCGGGCGCAAGAGAUUUGAAGGGGGCUGCUCCUAGUACGAGAGGACCGGAGUGGACGAACCGCUGGUGUACCAAUUAUCCCGCCAGGGGUACAGUUGGGUAGCUACGUUCGGAAAGGAUAAACGCUGAAAGCAUCUAAGCGUGAAACCAGCCUUAAGAUGAGAUCUCUCAUAGAGCAAUCUAGUAAGACACCUUAAAGAAGAUGAGGUUGAUAGGUCGGGAGUGUAAGUACAGCAAUGUAUUGAGCGGACCGAUACUAAUAUGUCGAGGGCUUGACUUA